rnacentral:tRNA from 1 species
GGCUCCGUAGCUUAGUUGGUAAAGCGCUCGUCUAGCAUACAAGAGUCCUGGGUUUAAACCCCAGCCGAGCAC